rnacentral:snoRNA from 1 species
AAGCCAUGCAUUGGGCAUUUUCUAAUUAAUUCCUUAAAUCACUCUCAUGAUUUAUAUAAUGUUUCAUCCCCAGAUUUCCGAAAGGACGUAAUAUCAUUCCUCAAUUU